AUCUCAUGAUGAGGACACUGCCUUUGUAGAUCCUUGUACCGUUCCCAAGCUUCAUAAAGUGAUUCACCAUCCAACUGGGUGAAGGAUGUGAUUGCAUUGCGUAGCU
rfam:Beta vulgaris subsp. vulgaris Bvchr1_un.sca019.con0026.1, whole genome shotgun sequence.